UGAGUUAGACAUGCUUGAACUAAUGUAGGGCUUGAUGCUCACACUGUCAUACAUGCCAACUUUCCCGAUUUAGGCGGGAUCUUCCCGAUUUUACCCUCCGGUCCCGCUUUCCCGAUCGGGAAAGCAAAAUUACCCUAAAAUCCCGAUUUGAAAUUUUUUCCGACCAAAAUUUCCGAUUUCACGAUUGAAAACGAGUUUGAAAGCGGGAUAAUCGUGAAAUCUCGUGACCAGAAUUGGAAAUCCCGCGUCAUUUCUGAACUGGCCAAUCAGAAAUCGGGACAAUAGUCAGCCAUUGCUGUUUACCUGUGUCGCAUGGUGUCGGGUUGGCCUGUGUCGGGGUGUUUAUUGGACAGUACGAAGCAUGUUUUGAUAGUAAUUAAUCGGGAAGACGGAUUUCAAAUUGACCUAUCCUUUACACAAACGUGAAUGACAACGAUGCUAGUGUCACCACCAAACAAUCGGACAUUCCGCCUCUCUCUGACAGCAUCCAAAAUUUGCAAUAAGAUGUCAUGGGUGCAAAGGUUUUGUUCGCAAACUUCAUAGCAGGGCAGAUCACUCCUUUUUUGGUUGCAAUGCAGAUUAUUCCACCAGUCUCUGCAAGCCCAUGUUUACAGACAAGCAAGAUCGCCUUUGCAGUCGUACCUAAAUGCAUGUGAUUUAAUUUAAAUUUUGAUAUAUAGACCAGCCAAUGUUUAUUGUAUGGUGUAAAAGGAUGCAACCUUAAAUAUUAUUUGAUAUUAUGUAUGUGACUUGUUGGAGAAGAUUUUUUGCUGAAUAGAUGAUUUUAAUAAAAUAUUAAUGUAUAUC